CGAUGUAUGUAUGACUAACUGAAAAAUCUGCAUAAAAAUUUCGGCCUUCAAGUUUUUAGUGUUUUUUUUUUUAACUAACUAGAAUCCCAAAUAACAUCCAAUUCUUCUAAAAGCUAUAAAAAAAUCUGAUAUUGUUUCGAAUAUAUUCGCCCAAUAAAAUUUUAGAAUCAUUAGGCUCUACUUCACUAGAAAGUGAUUGUACACAUAAACAUGUAGACUUUCACCCAGAUGUAGUGACCUAUGGCUAUAAACUUUAUCUACAAAUACGAACUUACACACAACACACUACUACACUACUAUAUUAGUCUAUAUAUAUAAUAGAACACUAAACACUAUUUAUGUAAAUGCCCAUUUUUAAGUUUGUAAAAUAAUAAUUUGUUUUUAUAAAAAAUCUGGCUAUGCCUAUAGUACUCUUAACAAAAUUAUGACUAAAAAUAUUAUGAACGUCGAGUCUCUAGAUUCAUCAUCUUUGUGUGUCUGAUAAACCCAGAGAAUGAAGAUAUAGAAUCUAUAUAGGCCCCCUAUUAUAUAGAAUCUAGCUCUAGUUGACUCUAGACUAGAUCUAGGAUAAUUUCAGAAGUACACAAAGGAUGUUGAAAGGUACCCAAAGGGCUCUAAUUGCUACCAUUCAAUGUGUGGAAUCAAGUAUUUACCCAGAUACUGCCACAAUAUGCUCUUAUUGUUUUCAAAGGAGUUUUCACACAGUGCCAGAAGCUGUAUAAUUACAUUUAACAAUGUAUAUUUCAAGAAGAAAUGAUGCUUUCUUAUUUCUAAGAGUUUAUCAAUAGGAUGAAUGCCACAAAACUCACUUGUUAUGCCAGAAACUCUUCCUACGAAACUUCCAUACUAGAAUUUGUCCAGUGCCUGUGAUCCUCUGAGUUGAAGGAGAAUGUGCUCCAUAAUACCUACUAGGAGCUUGCUGAUAGCUGGAAGUUCAUGAAUACUAUGUUGUCCUUGAUUUGAUGAUUCUGAAAACUACCAUUUCUGAAGACUUGAGCAUUAUUUCUAUAAUUUAAAAAAAUCUUUUCAGGAAAUAUUGUGUUUAUAAUAUUAAGAAAGUGAAGAUAAUAUUGUUCUUACUAAUAUUAUUGACUUAUUAAAAUAGAAAGCACAUCAUUACCAAUAUUCACUUGUCAAUAAAUGUUAGCAUUAUUCAAUUUUUAGUUACAUGUUCAGACUAUUAAAUUUUAUUAUUUAAAUUAUAGCAACUUUCUCUUUCAGUCCAGCUUAAGAUACAUUCCUGUAAAAAGUCUAUGAUAAUAAGUUAAUGUCGAUGUAGUAUUGUUCAGACACUUACAAGUUUAAUCAUCUAUACUUCACAAAAAAAAAGUGUUUGAAUGGUUUUCAUUUGUUUGUACAUCAAAUAUGUAUUAAUAUAAUUAUCAUUUUUAGAUGAAACAUUAAAUACUGAAGAUGACCAUUUCAAUUUCUGAUGUAGGCCUAUUCUCAUUUCAUGAAAUAAACAGAAUAUUAUCUGAAAUUUCA